rnacentral:rRNA from 1 species
AUUGAACGCUGGCGGCAUGCUUUACACAUGCAAGUCGAACGGUAACAGGUUAAGCUGACGAGUGGCGAACGGGUGAGUAAUGCAUCGGAACGUGCCCGGUCGUGGGGGAUAACACUUCGAAAGAAGUGCUAAUGCCGCAUACGAUCUGAGGAUGAAAGCGGGGGACCGUAAGGCCUCGCGCGAUCGGAGCGGCCGAUGUCAGAUUAGGUAGUUGGUGGGGUAAAGGCCUACCAAGCCGACGAUCUGUAGCUGGUCUGAGAGGACGACCAGCCACACUGGGACUGAGACGCGGCCCAGACUCCUACGGGAGGCAGCAGUGGGGAAUUUUGGACAAUGGGCGCAAGCCUGAUCCAGCAAUGCCGCGUGCAGGAUGAAGGCCUUCGGGUUGUAAACUGCUUUUGUACGGAACGAAAAGCCCUGGGUUAAUACCCUGGGGUCAUGACGGUACCGUAAGAAUAAGCACCGGCUAACUACGUGCCAGCCGCCGCCGUAAUAC